CGAGGGGUGCAAGCGUUGCUCGGAAUUAUUGGGCGUAAAGGGUAGGUAGGUGGUCUCGUUUGUCUGGGGUGAAAGCCUUGAGCUUAACUCAAGAAGUGCCCUAGAAACGGCGAGACUAGAGUCCUGGAGAGGGUCGUGGAAUUCCCGGUGUAGCGGUGAAAUGCGUAGAGAUCGGGAGGAACACCAGAGGCGAAGGCGGCGACCUGGACAGGUACUGACACUCAACUACGAAAGCGUGUGGAGCAAACAGGAUUAGAUACCCUGGUAGUCCACGCUGUAAACGAUGGGUACUAGGUUUGGCGGGUCUUGACCCCUGCUGAACCGGAGCUAACGCGAUAAGUACCCCGCCUGGGAAGUACGGUCGCAAGACUA
rnacentral:rRNA from 1 species